UAGCCAUAUCACGUUGAAACACCGGUUCACGUGCGAUCUUCUCAGUUAAGCACCAUUAAGCCUGGUCAGCACUUAGAUGCAUGACCGCCUGGGAAUACUAGGUACUGUGA